CGCGGCCUAUCAGCUUGUUGGUGAGGUAAUGGCCCACCAAGGCGAUGACGGGUAGCUGAUCUGAGAGGAUGGCCAGCCACAUUGGGACUGAGAGACGGCCCAGACUCCUACGGGAGGCAGCAGUGGGGAAUCUUGCGCAAUGGCCGAAAGGCUGACGCAGCGACGCCGCGUGCGGGAGGAAGCUCUUCGGGGUGUAAACCGCUGUUGCCCGGGACGAAUGGCGCUAUUUGUAGCGCUUGACGGUACCGGGUGAGGGAGCGCCGGCUAACUCUGUGCCAGCAGCCGCGGUAAUACAGAGGGCGCGAGCGUUGUCCGGAAUCACUGGGCGUAAAGGGCGCGUAGGUGGCGGCAUAAGGCUGUGGUGAAAGUUCGGGGCUCAACCCCGGAUCGGCCGUGGCAACUGUGUCGCUAGGGCACCGUAGAGGCAGAUGGAAUUCCGGGUGUAGCGGUGGAAUGCGUAGAGAUCCGGAAGAACACCAGUGGCGAAGGCGGUCUGCUGGGCGGUGAGCUCGCAAGGGCUCAAUAGCCGACACUGAGGCGCGACAGCGUGGGGAGCAAACAGGAUUAGAUACCCUGGUAGUCCACGCCGUAAACGAUGGGCACUAGGUGCUCUGGGGAGCGACCCCCGGGGUACCGGCGCUAACGCAUGAAGUGCCCCGCCUGGGGAGUACGG
rnacentral:rRNA from 1 species